CCUAUAGACUAAGCGAAAGACAAAAGUAGCCCAACCUAACCCUACAGCUGGUGCAGAGACCAACACGAUCGACCACCGCCGGCCCCAUGCAGCAUCUGCCGCCCUUAAUUUCUCACAGAACCAGAGGAUCGAUAUGAUUGUGUUCAUAAUUAAUCAUCUAUCUAAUUAUGACGUACGAUCGGAACUACCACAAACCCUAAUUCCUCCUACCCUAUUAAUUCCAUCGACGUAUUCUCUCUUACCUCUGGUUUCUGAAAUUAGAACGAUCGAGGUGCAGUCGUGCAGAGAUCGGGAUCAAUUCUGGCCGGAGAUAUAUAAUACAAAGGAAGCAUGUUCUUUAAGGGGAAUGUUGUCUGGCACGAGGUCACCAACUUUGGCAGGAGAGAAUAUAAUUUGAUGUUGAAUUGUGCAUAUAUAUGUAUGUAUAUGUAUAUGUUUGGGCUCUCGGACCAGGCUUCAUUCCCCUCAAUUGCUGCUUCCAAUUCCAUCUUUGCUAUAGUAGCUUUAUAUGCUCUUACUUUCGAGUCUCCGAUUCGAUCUACUUCUUCACUCAGUGGGCGUGGUGUGGAGUUGCAGAGCUGUACCAGUGUCAUCUUUCCCAUAUUUCAGCUUUAAUAAUGUUCUUGAUCAAAUAUUACUUAUGUAUCUAUAUAUUACUGAAUAUAUUGAUGAAUGUACUUGGUGGAAAACUAGCUAAGCAUAUAUGGAAUUACCUUAAAGAUGGAGUCGGAUAGAUCAGAUGAGAGUGCAGACAGGUAUUCUCUGGAUUGAUUCUCUUUUGCAAAUGUGAUCUUUUUCAUACAGAGCUUUUGUAAAAGGGGCAUCUUUCUUUCAUCUUUUGGAAAUCUUUCUUGUCGUUUUAUUUUUCUUUACGUUCUAGCUAUACCUAUGAACCUAUCAAUAUCGUAUGUGAUCGUGUAUGCAAAAUAUCCAGGCGGCCAGUUAUGGUACUCUUUAAGCUAUAUCAUAUUCUCUUAUGAUCCAUUUUUUGGGUAUUGGGCAAUGGCCAGAUAUAAUAGCUAGGUAGCUUACAUAGACUUUCAGGACAUAAUAUAUAGUUCGCAUCGCACUAUAAUUACUAUUGAUUUCAGAUAUAUUGACAAAUAAACAGUUUUAUACCUUACAAUUACUUUUGAUUUCCUUCUCUGAUUAUUCACUGUGACAUCCCAUGCAUAUAUAGAUCCUCCUCUUUUUUAAGAUGGUUUUGAGUUCUGGAUAUCACACUUUGCUAGAUUUUUGGUAUUGCUUCUGUAACUUGUUAUUUUCAAUUUCUUGUAACUCUAGAUGAUUAGAAGGAUUCAUUUUGAUAGUUAUGAUAGAAUCAUCUUUGAAACAAAUCAAUCAAAUUGAUAAUACUGUGGAAUUGGAUGUUGGUGAAAAAGAAAAGGUACUGACAUCCCUCCCAUAUAAGGGCAUUAUUGGAUAUACAGUUUAAUACGUUUUUGUGUGUGUGUGUGUGUUUAUUUGUCUUUUUGGGUUCUUCAACUUUUUCCAAAGCCUUAUCGGAUUAGUGCAUUACAAGGCACUCAAUACACUCUCCCCAAUUUCAGAAUGUCCGAACAUUUUGUGUUAUUUCUAGCUAGGUUGCAACAUUUUAUGUGAAGACUGCUGAGUUAGGUCGAACGCAUGAGUACUACUGUUCACUUCAUUUUAUUCUCAAUUAUUUUCAUAUGAGAAUUGAAAUUGGUAUUCCAUUUUUUAUAAACCAUACUCCUCUGCAGUGAUUAAUUUUUCAAAAGAAAUGUGCAUGGAAGUGGGUUUGGUUUGCAAAAAGAAUUUCAACCCCUUCCCAUAUAUGUGCCUACAUAUUUACUUGAGGGAUUCAAACAAUAUGCAAUACAUAUUGUGUUCUGUAUUCAUACUCUUGAUCGAGCAUGUAACCUUGGGACCCCUAGAUAAGUAUAAACUAAUAAGUUAUAAUAGUUUGUUGUUAAUUAGUAGUGGGUUGCAGGUGAGGAAUGUGCACGCGAACAAAAAAAACAAAUGAGCUUUAAUUUUCCAUUAGAUAUAUAUGGAACAGAAAGUGAUCAAUCCCUCGAAAUAUUGCCAUGGCCACCAGACACCAGUGAUCAGUCAGGUCGAUCCAUGCAUCAUUGGUAUGAACUUAAUUUUCAUUGCCAUUGAAUCGAUGAAUGAAGCUCGUCAUUUAUAAUGAAGCCAAAUUUAAGCACUCUAAUACUCGGUUUAGAUCAGCUUCACUAUUGAAUCAAAAUCAUCUUUAUUUGUGCUGCAUAUUCAGAUAUUGUUUAGAAUAAAUUAUUUAUCAGGGAUGUGGCCUGUGGGAGUGUGGGUUGUACACCAAACGACCAGAUGCAGUAGUUGCUUUCCUCUCCGUUACAAUAUAUAUGUUCUUGGGAAUACUACAAUAUGAAUAGAAUAGUGCCCGUUAAAAAUAA